rnacentral:rRNA from 1 species
GACGAACGCUGGCGGCGUGGAUUAGGCAUGCAAGUCGAACGGUAGGAUACCUUCGGGUAUCUGAGAGUGGCGAACGGGUGAGUAACACGUAGGUGAUCUACCCUCAAGAUUGGGACAACCCAGGGAAACUUGGGCUAAUACCGGAUGAAAGCAGCAGUGAUGUUGUUUGAAAGGUGGCGUAAGCUGCCGUUUGGGGAUGAGCCUGCGCUCUAUUAGUUAGUUGGCGGGGUAAAGGCCCACCAAGGCGAUGAUAGAUAGGCGGCCUUAACGGGUGGUCGCCCACACUGGGAUUGAGAUACGGCCCAGACUCCUACGGGAGGCAGCAGUCGAGAAUAGUCUACAAUGGCCGAAAGGCUGAUAGUGCGACGCCGCGUGAACGAAGAAGCCCUUCGGGUGUAAAGUUCUUUUAUAUGUGAGCAGUGCUUUCUAUGUGAACAGCAUGGGGAGAGAGAUAUUAGCAUAAUGAAUAAGCAACGGCUAACUCCGUGCCAGCAC